GAGAGCUUUGUAAAUCAAAUAUGAUGUGCGUGCAAAUGUCCCUUGAAUGUGCAUAUAAGUCUAAAUUUAAACAGUAUUAUAUUAUAUAGAGCGAUCGUGUCUCUUUAGGGCGCUUGGAGGAAACUAUGCAAUUCAUAUGGAUUACUUUGGCGAUUUUUUUUUUGCGAUGAACUUUUUGAAACGUGAACAUCUUCGAUUAAUCUUUUCAUCGGAGGGACAUAAAUCUCUCCGAUUUCAUUAAAAUAUCUCCGCUUUUCUUUCGAAGAUGAACGAAAGUCUUAGAUGGUUUGGAACAUCUUAAGGCUUCUGCAAGCCUGUAUGGCGUCUGACUUUUGGGACCUCACUGUGACUUCAGAUAAGAACAAAGAUUAAAUUGUAAGAAGGACUGCUUGUAAGAGCAUACAGUACAUCUGAAACUGCUGAGGCUGGGAAGGUUUUUGACAUCAUCGUCAUCCUCCCAUCACCAUCCCUUCACCACAUCCUGCCAUCAUCCCGCACCUUUGCCUCUCACCAUUCCUACACCAUCUCCUUGUCCACCUCCAAAACCCUCUCCAUCCCUCCCUAUUCUGUUGCUUGAACUUUAUCAUCUUCAGUCUUUGCACACACAUCUAUUCACUUCUGCACUUAGUUUUUCUGUAAAUUUUUGUUUUUUUUUUCUUCAGAAAAUUGCAUUGUAAUUUUUAUUUAUUCAUUUAUGUAAAAUUUUUAACUUUUCAGUAAUACAGGUAUAACUGAAAUGUUCUACAAAUGGAUAAGAUAGCUU